rnacentral:rRNA from 1 species
UAACACGUAAGGGGCAAGCGUUGUUCGGAAUUAUUGGGCGUAAAGGGUACGUAGGCGGUUUGGUAAGCCCGGCGUGAAAUCCUGCAGCUUAACUGUAGAGCUGCGCUGGGAACUGCGAAACUUGAGUCAUGGAAGGGGAGUUAGAAUUCCAGGUGUAGGGGUGAAAUCUGUAGAUAUCUGGAAGAAUACCGGUGGCGAAGGCGAACUCCUGGCCAAUGACUGACGCUGAGGUACGAAAGUGCGGGGAGCAAACAGGAUUAGAUACCCUGGUAGUCCGCACCGUAAACUAUGUGCACUAGGUGUUGGGCCGAGCGGUUCAGUGCCGAAGCUAACGUGAUAAGUGCACCGCCUGGGGAGUAUGCCCGCAAGGGUGAAACUCAAAUGAAUUGACGG